UACGUGAGGGGCGAACGUUGUUCGGUGUCACUGGGCUUAAAGGGUGCGUAGGUGGUUCUGUAAGUAAGGUGUGAAAUCCCUCGGCUUACCCGGGGAAUUGCAUCUUAUACUGCAGGACUUGAGGUCUAAAGGGGAAAAGGGAACUCCAGGUGUAGCGGUGAAAUGCGCAGAUAUCUGGGGGAAGGCCGGCGGCGAAGGCGCUUUUCUGGUUAGAUCCUGACACUGAGGCACGAAAGCGUGGGGAGCAAACAGG
rnacentral:rRNA from 1 species